rnacentral:rRNA from 1 species
UACGAAGGGUGCAAGCGUUACUCGGAAUUACUGGGCGUAAAGCGUGCGUAGGUGGUUUGUUAAGUCUGCUGUGAAAGCCCCGGGCUCAACCUGGGAAUGGCAGUGGAUACUGGCAAGCUAGAGUGCGGUAGAGGGGUGUGGAAUUCCCGGUGUAGCGGUGAAAUGCGUAGAGAUCGGGAGGAACACCAGUGGCGGAGGCGGCACCCUGGCACAUAACUGACGCUGAUACGCGAAAGCGUGGGGAGCGAACCGG